rnacentral:sRNA from 1 species
AAGGAUAGAGUCACAGGCUUCCAGGUCCCCAAGCCCCAAUGAAGAGAUGGCCCAGGAACCACCGAAGGCCGAGUCAAUGAAGCAAGUGCAUUCUUGCAAUAAAGGUGCGAGCUGCCGGCCGGGAUUUCCAGC